rnacentral:rRNA from 1 species
UGAGGAAUAUUGGACAAUGGGGGAAACCCUGAUCCAGCGAUGCCGCGUGAGUGAAGAAGGCCUUCGGGUUGUAAAGCUCUUUUACCUGUGAAGAUGAUGACGGUAACAGGAGAAAAAGCACCGGCUAACUCUGUGCCAGCAGCCGCGGUAAGACAGAGGGUGCUAGCGUUGUUCGGAAUGACUGGGCGUAAAGGGCGCGUAGGCGGCUUUAUAAGUCGGGCGUGAAAGCCCCGGGCUCAACCCGGGAACUGCGUUCGAUACUGUAGAGCUUGAGUUCAGGAGAGGAAAGCGGAAUUCCUAGUGUAGAGGUGAAAUUCGUAGAUAUUAGGAGGAACACCAGAGGCGAAGGCGGCUUUCUGGACUGAUACUGACGCUGAGGCGCGAAAGCGUGGGGAGCAAA